GCCCCAGCCGCCCCGCACGGCACCCCGCACUCCACGGGCCACGCUGCCGUCUCUGACCCCUCUGUUCUGGGGGGCGGCGGGGCUGCCUGUGGGCUCUGGCCCGGGACCCACGCCUGGCACCCCAGCCUGGGGUGGGGGGACCCCGGGGCACGGGGACUAACGCAGGAGGAAGGAGCUCAUGUCAGGAACCGGGGCUGGGGCCGCACGCAUGUCACUGGGGUCCCCUUCCCACCCCCCAGCCUGCUUCUGGGGGCUCCGGGGGCCCCGGGGCCUGGGGUCCGGAGAGCCCCCGGUCAGCAGCCCCCUGGGAAAGCCCGAGGUCAGGGGGCUCGGAAAAGGCCACUUUGGCAGGAGCCCUCUUGAGCGAUGCGGACAGCUGCGCCCGCCUCCCGAAGCUAUUCCUGUCUUAGCAGGAGCCGGGGAGGGCCGGCCCGCGGGCUUCCCGGCAUCUAGGCGGGCAAUACGAUAUUUCCAGAUAAAGGGCAUUCCUGGCGCCCCUCAUCACUCUCCUCGGGCAGCUGUCGGCUCCACUUACCCCCUAAGCCCCACAGGAGGCUCAGAGCAGUUUUCCCAUUCCAUCCCGGCCAAGGGGCCAAGGCGGAUUUAGCCGGGGUGAGGCGGGGUACGGGGCAGGCAGGGGAUGUUCUGGGAGGUGAGGACAGGCACUAUGGGAACAGCAGCUGGUCCUAAUCCCACUGGGCCUCCUUCAGGACCAGCCCCACAAGGCCUCUUGCCCAGUUUUUAUUUUUAGGAGGCACCUUCUAGAACUCGUGCUGCCCUGUCCUGGGGGCACAGGGACAAGCUCAGCACAGUCACGUGCCAGGUGGCCCCGGGUGCAGGGCAGACCUGGGUGGGUGGGUCCGCGGGUCCUGGAACCAGGACUCUGGGGACACGCGGCCCACAGCCUCAGUGCUGGAGUUCUGAGUCAAUCUGCCCACGGGACACUCAGCCACACCUGCACCCCAGAGUGGGCGGGGGGCCAGGAUCCUUGCCCAAAGACCCUCAGGGCCUGGCCUGCGGGGCGAGGUGGCCGGCUACCGCCUCCUUCACACACCUCUCGCCCAGGAGCUCCCGGGGGGUGCGAGAGAGAAGUUCACCAGCCCAGACGAGGGACGUGCCCACUCUGGGGCUGGGGGGGCGGUGCGCACAGGAAGGAAUCAGGUAACCAUGGGCUUGUCUCCUUAAAUGGGAAAAAAACCCAGCAGUGGCGUGAAGCCUCUCUCGUCGGUGGGCCUCCUGAAACCGGGCAGGGGAUCUGGAGGGUCCCCCGAAGCCAGGGAGGGGAGCAGGGAGGGGGCGCCUCAGAUGCCAGGGCCCGGCCAGGCAGUGGGAGGAAGCACUCGGGGCUGGGGCUGGGGCACCCCUAGGUACUGCUGAGAUUGCUCAAGGCCUGAGCCGGAGCCUGACACCCUGGGAGCAUGGAAUCGCUGGAAUUCCUGUGUGAACCGGCUGGCUCUGGAGCCACAAACAGCUUGGUGAUGGGGCGGGUCAACCUCACGGGCUGCUGACCUCGCCACUGUCACCCCAGGGUCAGAGGCCAGCAGGAAGGGAGGUUUCUAUCCUCAGCCAGCAGGACCAAUGGCGUCUCCAAGGAUGUGGCGUGACUUGGGGCCCAUGGGGCAGGGACUAUGGGUUCGCGGCUGGGUGUGUGGCGCCCACUUCCGGCACCGCCUCCUGGGCCUGGACAAUCUCAUGCGGGGUUAGACACCCCAUGAGCCUUCCCACAAUAUGAUCAUCCGACUCCCGUGAGCCCCUGCUCAUCCCAGACCCGCACGCCACGCCCAACAGGGACACAGGACGUGGCAAGCCCCGGGGGUGGGGGGAUGGUGGUAGAGAUGGUGUCGGACAGCCACGGGACAGAGACCGGGCUGGCACUCAGGACUGGGACACGCGUGAGUGGAGGGGAGAGCCUGACAUCAGGGGUCGGGGGUCCUGGGAGCAGGGCCCUCCAGCUCCUCCUUGGCCGGCAUUACCAUUCCCAUGUUUCACACAAAGAAAGAUGAGCCCACAGCCCAGGGCCUCACAAGCUCGAGGGGAGACCGGGAACCUGGCCCCGGCAGCCCUGUCUGCAAGGCCUCUAAGCCUGCUCUGCACCCAAACACACUGUUGGCGGGCCCAGAGCAGCGAGGGGACCCUGCCCGGGGCCGGUGGCCAUUGUCUGCCUGCCAUCAUAGUGCCCGGCGCCCUCCGGGGCCUCUCACACCUUGGCCCCCAGCCCCCGGCCCCCAGCAAGAAUGUUCCAUGAGCCCCGUGGGCAAGCACGUGGCCCGGCAUGUCAGGCCAAGCGCGCCGGGCCGGUGCCCGCUCCCCUCCCGCCCGGCACCGCCGUGUGCGCUCUUCCUCGCGCCGUCAGGCCCCUGCCUGCCAUCAGGAGCUGGGUGGCAGGAACCAGUGCCCCGAGUCCCCGGGCAGCCCCACAUGGCCCCCUGAACACUGGGCUGGGCCCCUCACGGGCAGGGUCUCCAUCUCCUGCUGUCAGAUGGUGCUGUGGCCUUGGAGAGCAGGGUGGCCUUGGGAGGGCACAGCGGAGGGAACCCCCUGGGGCAGCUGAGGCCCGGAGCCCAUGGCUCCAGAAGCGGGGGGUGCCUUUACAGCAGACCCUUGCCCCUGCCCCGGCCGGCCUCCCUAGCCAGCCGCAUGUGUUCGGGAGGCCUUUGAUCUGGCCUUUAAUGACCAACCCUGCUGAUGGGUCAUUGUUGGUGCCCCUCCAUGCCCUGGGGGGCUUAUCAUCAAGACUCCCCCAUGGAUGGCCCCGAGCUGGGUGCUUCCGGGCUCCCAGGCCACUCAGGGGUCAAGAGCACAUUCUUGGUGGUACUCUGGGUCCAGGGUCACCUGGGACCUCCCAGGUCUGCUGCUGGGAGCAAGGGGUAGCUGGAAGGAGGGAGCCCCGUCGUUCAUCGCUCAGGGCUGGCUCCAAGUUGAGAGAAGCCCGAGGGCGGCCCCAGCUCUGAGGGCAGGGGGCUGCACCUGACCCUGCCCACUGGGCCUGGGGAGCGGGACACCCUCUGAGCACGGCCUGGCACUGCCUUCUCUGAGCCUCCGGGCCCACUCCCCAGGGCUGUGCAGCUUCGGGAAGGGGCUGCACCCUCCGGCCAACCAGCCAUAGCUUUCUGGUGAGCAAGGCAGGCAGUGGGCGUGCGGGGCGGAGGGCGUGUGGGGCUCAGGGAGGCCAGGGAGCGAGGCAGGAUUCCCCGGAGCCACCCCUCCCCCAGGGCUCCCCGCACUCACCCGCUCACUCACAUGCGCGUGCGUGCACACACACACACGUGUGCACACGUGUGCACGCAUGCAGUGGCGGGAAACGCCGUCUUCAGCGCCGGGCUCGCAGACGUGGGGUUUUAUUAGUGCUACAAAUCAGAUAUCACACAGUUGGGGGCUGACAUGGUUUUUAUAAGAAUUAUUUAGGGCCCUGGCCGCCGGUGAAGUCCCAGGGAGAACCUGCUGAGGAACAUCCAGCUGUUUGGGCCGUCGGAAUUCCCAACACUUCGUAAAGUGAAGGCCUCACUGGUGGGGUCGGCCGUGCACGUGGCCCAUCUCUGCAGCCUCCACGGAUGUUUAGGGACAAUCCUUCCACCGUGGCCAGGCUGCCCCCAGCUCGCCUGGAACACUCCGGGAAAAGCACCCAGUCCUCCCCUCCUUGGACAACGCAGACACGUGUGUCCCCAAAAUCGCAGACCCAGCGGAGGAAGCAACCCCAGUGUCUGCCACAGAGCGUGGAUUUGCCCAUGUGGACACACACAGCACGGAGCAUUACGCGGCCUUCCAAGGCUCAUCCUGCAACGUGCCACAGCAUGGACGAACCCGGGGGCACCGAGCCGACCACUGAGCCGACCACCGAGCCGACCACCAAGCCGACCACGCGCUGACCGCCGCGCCGACCACCGCGCCCGCCUGGGGCAGGCGAGCCCCUGGAGAGACGGAGAGCAGAGCUGUGGCCAGCAGGGGCGGGUGAGGGGGGUGAGGAGGGCUGGCCGCAGGGCACAGGGCUGCUUUCUGGACAACACAAACAUGUUUUGAAAGGGAUCACAGGAUGGAGACACGGCUCUGCGAAAGUACGGACACCUCACGACAUACUUGCAGUGGGCGGGUGGUGGGGUAUGUGAACUAUGUCUCCAUAAAGCCGUUUGAAGAUAGGA